UGGGCAACCUGCCCCUGGCUCUGGGAUAACUCCGGGAAACCGGAGCUAAUACCGGAUACGAGACCGAUUGGCAUCUUUACGGUCUGGAAAGUUUUUCGGCCAGGGAUGGGCUCGCGGCCUAUCAGCUUGUUGGUGAGGUAAUGGCUCACCAAGGCGACGACGGGUAGCCGGCCUGAGAGGGCGACCGGCCACACUGGGACUGAGAUACGGCCCAGACUCCGUACGGGAGGCA
rnacentral:rRNA from 1 species